UACGAAGGGAGCUAGCGUUGUUCGGAAUUACUGGGCGUAAAGGGCGUGUAGGCGGUACCAUAAGUCAGAUGUGAAAGCCCUGGGCUUAACCUAGGAUGUGCAUUUGAUACUGUGGAACUAGAGAUCGGGAGAGGAAAGUGGAAUUACGAGUGUAGAGGUGAAAUUCGUAGAUAUUCGUAAGAACACCAGUGGCGAAGGCGACUUUCUGGCCCGAUACUGACGCUAAGGCGCGAAAGCGUGGGGAGCAAACAGG
rnacentral:rRNA from 1 species